rnacentral:misc_RNA from 1 species
GUGAGAAGCAAGAUGAUUUAUGCAAGCUCCAAAGACAGGUUCAAGAGAGAGCUUGAUGGAUUCCAGGUAGAGCUGCAAGCAACUGAUCCUACAGAGAUGGGGCUUGAUGUUUUCAGAAGCCGAGCUGGUGGAAUUGAAUGUUGAGUGUGUGAGUGUCUUUGUUUAUGUUAAGUGCUUAUAGUUUGUGGUGAAGUAGAACUUGGUUAGUUAUACUACUGGCUUGUCGUUCCCAAUCACCUUACUCUCUAAAGUCUCUUCUUCUCAGAGAACUUCAAUACUUUUUAAUCCAUGUUAUAUUGUUACUCAUGAAAUCAAGGAGUUAUCUUCUUACAUUGAGCAUCAUUGUUUUCUUUUCAUUGAUCAUACUCUUUUAA